CUCGGCGGAGCCGGCGCUGCGAAUGGACUGAUGGCCGCUGAGGCUGCUCCUGGCGCGGUUCAUCAUCGGCCGCCGCACUUUCGCGACUGAGACGAAACGACACUCACCUUUACUUAAUGGAAGGCUUCGCUUACAUCCUGAACUUAAAGGAACUACAGAAAGGGACAGAAACUGCUUUCUUUUUAAACAAUGCGCUGAAAGGUUACUAGUGAUAGGAGGCUUAGUGAAGCGCGUGAUGUGAACGGCCACGCUGCAAGGCUGGAGAGAAAAGAGGAGGGAGUGAAGUUGCACCCUGAUCGCGAAUCCUCGGCCUUUUAUCAGGGGCGCCGCCACUCGGGGUCCGACCAUUCGCCUCCAACGAGGGGACAGCGAAUCUGCUGUCGUGUGCAGUCCACAGCAACCACAGGUGGGGCAACAGGAGGAGCGCUUGGGCACGACCACGUGACCCAGCACGAGCCACCGCCCGCCCCAAAAUGAAAUCAAAUCCUAAUCUCCCAAUCCCGGCAUGCCGGUCACUCCAGCCUUUCCAGGAGACUUGCGGCCGUGCAGCCCCUACACCUUUAUCUGGACUCCUGUCGUACUUGGCCCAGCUCCACUGGAUUCAGCCCUUGGAUAACCACCCUACCAGCCCCUAAAGAUGACUCCAUCCCCGUCGGUAUAGUUAAUUAAAGAAAAACAGGAGUCGAAUUUUCCUGGGGUAACUGGUUCUUUAGCAGGAGGGGAGCACUGGGGAGUAUCUUCAGGGUGGCUGGACUUUGCAGCCUCUUUAAUAACUUCCCCCUGUGCAGGUUGUAUCCUUUAUCACCCCACCCCGAUGCCCCGGUCUUCAGGAAAUGGCAGCAGGCCCAUAUUUCUGUAGGGUUCAGAGUUCUGUGAGGUAGAGCAUUCCUUCCAAUGGGAUCUUAGAAUUCCUAGAGUUGCAGAAUUUUACUGACUAGACCCAGGAGGUCUCAGGAGUCCAGACUUGCUUAAAGCUUGGCUCAAAAUUCCAAGGGAGCUCAUAACUCCAUGGGGCCCAGAGUUCCUGGCUCGGGAACAUUGGGAGGCCUGGGAUACAGUGCCUUAGCCUCAAGCAGAAAAGUGAACACAAUAUCUUUAUGGCUUGAAGGUAUAUGAAAUAAUGUCACUACAUCGGAGCAGCGCCUCUGCUUGCACACCUAUGGGAGUCUGCAGCUGUGACACGUAGAAGUUGGCCACAUCCAGGUCGGUGGCUCCAAAGUGGGCGGCCACACGCACACCCUCGUGCAACGUGAAGCUCACCUGAUGACCCACCAUGGCCAGCAGGCUGCGGAGGUAACGCUCCCGAAGGGCGGCUCGUGCCCGCUGCUCCUGGGAUUCCAGGGAUUCUUGAGCUAUGGGACACUCCUGGAUUUCAGGAACCUCUGGCCUCAAGGGGGCUCUGCGUCCAUCAGGGGCAAAGCCACGGCUGAAGCCAUCAGGGCCCCGGGGCAGCCGGAGCACAGGCACGGGAAUGUUCACUGGAGUUUGCAUUGUCUUGGCUGUUGAGUGAAGAAAAAGAGCAGGAAGUCAUUACAUGGGCUUCAAACAGAGCCUGGCGCACAGGAGGCACUCAGUGAAUGCUUGCAAAAUGAAUUUUUAUUGUAAUGCAUUUAAUGAAAUAGCCCAGAUUACUAUCAGGCACCUAAUAAGAAACGUGACCGACUAUUUUUCUCGCUUGGGGGUGCGUGUGGGCAUGCCGUGUCUCAGUUUCACCCGCCCUAAAACGGGAUCAGGGAUAGCUGUUUCAAUGCCUUGUGGGAACUCGGUGUGAUUAAAUUUGGUCACUAAGCCAAACGCACGGGACACUGCCUAGAUUGAGUUAGGCCGCCGUCAGGGCCCCAGCAGGGCGGCUCGGUCCCCUCCCAUGAGCCCCGCCCUGGUAGGCGGAGCCACGGGCCCGGCCA
rnacentral:lncRNA from 1 species